GAUGAAGAACGCAGCGAAAUGCGAUAAGUAAUGUGUAUUGCAGAAUUCAGUGAAUCAUCGAAUCUUUGAACGCACAUUGCGCCCGUCAGUAUUCUGGCGGGCAUGCCUGUUCGAGCGUCAUUACGCCCCUCAAGUCCCCUGUGGACUUGGUGUUGGGGAUCGGCGAGGCUGGUUUUCCAGCACAGCCGUCCCUUAAAUUAAUUGGCGGUCUCGCCGUGGCCCUCCUCUGCGCAGUAGUAAAACACUCGCAACAGGAGCCCGGCGCGGUCCACUGCCGUAAAACCCCCCAACUUUUUAUAGUUGACCUCGAAUCAGGUAGGACUACCCGCUGAACUUAAGCAUAUCAAUAAGCGGAGGA
rnacentral:misc_RNA from 1 species